rnacentral:misc_RNA from 1 species
CCACUAUUAUCACUUACACCUCCACAGGAAGCACCGUUCGUUUAUUCUUAUGUUUAUCCCUGAUGUCACGUGAAUUUUCUGACCUAUCAGGUACAUUUUCCCACGCAUGUAUCACAUGCUCGUUUCGCCGAUAAUCACAUUGUCGACGCUAAUAGAAACACGAGUUCUGCUUCGCUGUUCUGACUGUGCUUGUCUAUGUCUGUUAACUAAUUUCCUGGCCAGAUGAGAGUUCUGUGUCCCAAAUGUCGAAAGGCGAUAUCAGUGAAAGAAAUGUACAUUAUUGAGUGUGGACAUGUAUUUCAUUAUGAUUGCUUGAUAAAAUCGGUAGAGAGAUGGGUGAAAGCUACUUGUCCACUCUGUCACAAAAGUAAGAUAAUCACCUAUAUGCAAAGACUUUAUCCCACAUUCGACACAAACGAUGAACAAAACGUGUCCAAUGUCUACGACUAUAUGUCCGACGAUGAGUUCUACGAUGAUUUUAUCGGCAAAUACGCCAAGUUUACGUUAUCCGAUUUCAAAAGAGAGAUCACCUUUUUUCAUUAUCAUAUAUUAAAAUCUCAGAAGUCUGUUAAUUAUUAUCGCACGUUAAUACCACAAUUAAGACAGGGAAAUAUUAACCUUAAGCGAAAAAAACAAUGUAUGGGUAGUGAAUUGAAAAAGCAAACUCUUAUAAUUUCUCAUUUAGAGAAAAGUGCGAAAUUCGUAGCGAAGAUUUGUUAUGAACAUGAUGCUCUAAAGAAAAUACUGUCUGAAAAAGAUGAAGAACUCCAUAAACUCGAACAGGAAAACAAAAAAUAUCAUAAAAUUCUCAUGUCAGAACAUACAUUUCUACAAGAUCACUUGCGUGAAUUUGAAACACUCUUACCACUAGAAGACAUGAGUCCUGUUACGAGUCCUCCUCCUCGUACACCUCAAGAAAAUCGUCUAUCGGACAUGUACAAGAAGAUACUUUUGACGUCCUCUACGAUGUGUUUUAUGAUUAUGAUAGGAUAUCGAAUCUGGAGACGAGAAUUUAAAGUAAAUCUCUUUUCGACUGAUGACCUUAGAAUACUUAGAAUAAUAACUGGUAUUUUAUUCAUUCAAUGCAAGUUCCUAACCAUGCAGUACCAUGGCAGUAUAAAUACUAUAUGAAGAGGACAUAUAAAAGAUGACAACGGAAGAUCCGAUAUAAAAAGCUGACACGGCAAUGCCUUAAAAUGAGCAAAUAAUUUUAUUUCGAGAUAUUUGAUCGUGUCUGGACUUUUGGGAUUUUUGCAUAUAUUGCUAGCUUUAAUGCUAUAUUAAUUGUUUAGUUCAUGGAAAGUUUCCUCCGUGAAGAGCCAUACAUUGCGCUUCUAUCAACUGUAUCAUUAACAGAUGCCGUAACGUUGAAUUUACGAGUCACAAGCAUUAGUGACUACGUGAGCUGCUUUAAUAGUCUCAAGUCACAGCUAUGAUACAUCUGAUAACGUAGUUUCUAAUGAUGAUAGUCAUGUUUCUCGUAAAUGUUAGGCAGCAAUAACGAAAUUGCACAAGCAAUUGGAAAACCGUCGGAUUCAGCAAGCACAAGGCACAAGAAAAAGGUGGAGCUAGAAUUAAAGUUGUUGAAUGGAAUUGACAAGUCUCGGAAAUAAUAUGAAGAUAAAAUUAAAGCGCUGUUCUUCAUGAAAAUUUUAUGGGCUGCUGAUCCAACCUUCCGCUACAUAUAAUACCAUUGAUUUAAUAGUUAACAAGUCUGAUGUACAUAUUGUAACGUAACACAUCUCGAUAUAUUGGACAAGUAAUUUUCAACAUCUCCUACUUAUUAAUUUAUGCGACUAGAUUACUUUUUCGACAGGAAAUGAGAUGAUUCCUGUGCGACGAGAUAUAAAAAAUCGCUAAGUGCGUUCCGUGUUUGAGGAAAAGGUUUUAUUUUUGUAACAAUAAUAAUUGAUAAUAAUGUAAGAAAAAAAGCUUAUAAUUAUUAUAAUAAUUAUUAUA